rnacentral:rRNA from 1 species
GACGAACGCUGGCGGCGUGCUUAACACAUGCAAGUCGAACGCUGAAGCUUGGUGCUUGCACUGGGUGGAUGAGUGGCGAACGGGUGAGUAAUAAGUGAGUAACCUGCCCUUGACUCUGGGAUAAGCCUGGGAAACUGGGUCUAAUACUGGAUACGACAUGUCACCGAAUGGUGGUGUGUGGAAAGGGUUUUACUGGUUUUGGAUGGGCUCACGGCCUAUCAGCUUGUUGGUGGGGUAAUGGCUCACCAAGGCGACGACGGGUAGCCGGCCUGAGAGGGUGACCGGCCACACUGGGACUGAGACACGGCCCAGACUCCUACGGGAGGCAGCAGUGGGGAAUAUUGCACAAUGGGCGGAAGCCUGAUGCAGCGACGCCGCGUGAGGGAUGACGGCCUUCGGGUUGUAAACCUCUUUCAGCACGGAAGAAGCGAAAGUGACGGUACGUGCAGAAGAAGCGCCGGCUAACUACGUG